AGAGUUUGAUCCUGGCUCAGAUUGAACGCUGGCGGCAUGCUUUACACAUGCAAGUCGAACGGCAGCGGGCCCGUAAGGGUGCAGGCGAGUGGCGAACGGGUGAGUAAUACGUCGGAACGUACCCAAUAGAGGGGGAUAACCUAGCGAAAGUUAGGGUAAUACCGCAUAAUUUCGGGAGAAUAAAGCGGGGGAUCUUAGGACCUCGCGCUAUUGGAGCGGCCGAUGGCUGAUUAGCUAGUUGGUAGGGUAAAGGCUUACCAAGGCGAUGAUCAGUAGCUGGUCUGAGAGGAUGAUCAGCCACACUGGAACUGAGAGACGGUCCAGACUCCUACGGGAGGCAGCAGUGGGGAAUUUUGGACAAUGGGGGGAACCCUGAUCCAGCCAUGCCGCGUGAGUGAAGAAGGCCUUCGGGUUGUAAAGCUCUUUCGGGUAGAAAGAAAUCUGUUGUGCGAAUAGUGCAAUAGGAUGACGGUACUAUCAUAAGAAGCACCGGCUAACUACGUGCCAGCAGCCGCGGUAAUACGUAGGGUGCGAGCGUUAAUCGGAAUUACUGGGCGUAAAGGGUGCGCAGGCGGUUGUGUAAGCUUGAUGUGAAAUCCCCGGGCUUAACCUGGGAAGGUCAUUGAGGACUGCACGACUAGAGUACAUCAGAGGGGGGUAGAAUUCCACAUGUAGCAGUGAAAUGCGUAGAUAUGUGGAGGAAUACCAAUGGCGAAGGCAGCCCCCUGGGAUGAUACUGACGCUCAGGCACGAAAGCGUGGGGAGCAAACAGGAUUAGAUACCCUGGUAGUCCACGCCCUAAACGAUGUCAACUGGUUGUUGGGGGAGAGAAUUUCUCAGUAACGAAGCUAACGCAAGAAGUUGACCGCCUGGGGAGUACGGUCGCAAGAUUAAAACUCAAAGUAAUUGGCGGGGACCCGCACAAGCGGUGGAUGAUGUGGAUUAAUUCGAUGCCACGCGAAGAACCUUACCUACCCUUGACAUGUCCAGAACGAGAGAGAGAUUUCUUGGUGCCCGAAAGGGAAUUGGAACACAGGUGCUGCAUGGCUGUCGUCAGCUCGUGUCGUGAGAUGUUGGGUUAAGUCCCGCAACGAGCGCAACCCUUGUCCUUAGUUGCUACGCAAGGGCACUCUAAGGAGACUGCCGGUGACAAACUGGAGGAAGGUGGGGAUGACGUCAAGUCCUCAUGGCCCUUAUGGGUAGGGCUUCACACGUCAUACAACGGUCGGUACAGAGGGCUGCCAACCCGCGAGGGGGAGCUAAUCCUAGAAAGCCGAUCGUAGUCCGGAUUGUAGUCUGCAACUCGACUACAUGAAGUCGGAAUCGCUAGUAAUCGCGGAUCAGCAUGUCGCGGUGAAUACGUUCCCGGGUCUUGUAC
rnacentral:rRNA from 1 species